rnacentral:rRNA from 1 species
AUUGAACGCUGGCGGCAGGCCUAACACAUGCAAGUCGAACGAGUGGGGACGGGUAAGUAAUGUCUGGGACACUUCCUUAUGGGAGGGGAUAACUAAUGGAAACGGUAGCUAAUACCACAUACCAUCGGAUGAGCCCAGAUUGGCUUAGCUAGUAGGUGGGGGACAGGCGCACCUAGGCGACGAUCCCUAGCUGGGCUGAGAGGAUGACCAGCCACACUGGAACUGAGACACGGUCCAGACUCCCACGGGAGGCAGCAGUGGGGAAUAUUGCACAAUGGGCGCAAGCCUGAUGCAGCCAUGCCGCGUGUAUGAAGAAGGCCUUCGGGUUGUAAAGUACUUUCAGCGGGGAGGCGUUACCCGCAGAAUAAGCACCGGCUAACUCCGUGCCAGCAGCCGCGGUAAUUC